rnacentral:rRNA from 1 species
UACGUAGGGUGCAAGCGUUGUCCGGAAUUAUUGGGCGUAAAGAGCUCGUAGGCGGUUUGUUGCGUCGGCUGUGAAAUCCCGAGGCUCAACCUCGGGCCUGCAGUCGAUACGAGCAAACUAGAGUGUUGCAGGGGAGACUGGAAUUCCUGGUGUAGCGGUGAAAUGCGCAGAUAUCAGGAGGAACACCGGUGGCGAAGGCGGGUCUCUGGGCAACAACUGACGCUGAGGAGCGAAAGCAUGGGGAGCGAACAGG